rnacentral:rRNA from 1 species
GUAGGUGGCAAGCGUUGUCCGGAAUUAUUGGGCGUAAAGCGCGCGCAGGUGGUUCUUUAAGUCUGAUGUGAAAGCCCCCGGCUCAACCGGGGAGGGUCAUUGGAAACUGGGGAACUUGAGUGCAGGAGAGGAAAGUGGAAUUCCACGUGUAGCGGUGAAAUGCGUAGAUAUGUGGAGGAACACCAGUGGCGAAGGCGACUUUCUGGCCUGUAACUGACACUGAGGCGCGAAAGCGUGGGGAGCAAACAGGGAUUAGAUACCCUGGUAGUCCACGCCGUAAACGAUGAGUGCUAAGUGUUGGGGGGGUUUCCCGCCCCUCAGUGCUGCAGCUAACGCAUUAAGCACUCCGCCCCGGGGAGUACGGUCGCAAGACUG